rnacentral:rRNA from 1 species
CACGUAGGGGGCAAGCGUUAUCCGGAAUUAUUGGGCGUAAAGGGUGCGUAGGCGGCUUCUUAAGCGUGGGGUGAAAUGCAAUAGCUCAACUAUUGUAAGCCUUGCGAACUGGGGAGCUUGAGUGCAGGAGAGGAAAGCGGAAUUCCUAGUGUAGCGGUGAAAUGCGUAGAUAUUAGGAGGAACACCAGUGGCGAAGGCGGCUUUCUGGACUGUAACUGACGCUGAGGCACGAAAGCGUGGGUAGCGAACAGGAUUAGAUACCCUGGUAGUCCACGCCGUAAACGAUGAGCACUAGGUGUCGGGGUCGCAAGACUUCGGUGCCGCAGUUAACGCAUUAAGUGCUCCGCCUGGGGAGUACGCACGCAAGUGUAAA